AUCUGAGGCGGAUGACGGGGAGUAGCGACCCCGCGGGGCUAUAUAUCCGAGUGCUCCAGGGAGAGUAUACUGUCCCCCAUCUCCGGCUUGCCGGAGUGAAGCAUGACGGGGGAUAGGUCUCCCGCCUCUUGGCUUGCCUUCACCGGCCGGUCAGAGUGGAGUCGCUAGAGCAAUGCUCGGAGGGUAGGUGCCUCGUGGUAAGUGGCGAGUGGGCCGGUGAUGCUGGACCCACAGGGAGCGCGUGAUCUGCGUUUAAAGUCCGCCGAGGUAUCCUCACCCUUCUCAGCCGCUCAUGUACCUGUUGCCCUCUUGUUGCUUUUCAGUGACUGAUUCCCGGGGGCCCAGUAAGUGAGUUGGCGAGUCUCCACCUGCCAUUUUUACGUGUAUUUAUUACAUUGUUAUCGGCAGGUGCCAUAGUUCCCGUAGUUUCCCCAUUCCUAGUCCAUUAGCAUCCCAUCACAAUAGCCCAAGUAGUUUUCAUCCAUAGUUAGCAAUAGUUUAGCACAGAACCGGGGAUUGUCCUUGGGUACAUUUCUAUAGUGUAUACAGGGAUAAUCGUCGGUUUUGUGUCACCAUUUCAUUAAAGUUGUCUCAAAAGGGCUUCAGCGUGUUGGCUUCGGCCCCACGUUCGCCUCCCAAAAAUCCGGGACUCUAUAGUCCCGAGGUCUGGAAGAGACAUACAUUUAUAAUAAUAAUAAGCCCCGCAGGGCAUCUGAGGCAGAUGACGGGGAGUAGCGACCCCGCGGGGCUAUAUAUCCGAGUGCUCCAGGGAGAGUAUACUGUCCCCCAUCUCCGGCUUGCCGGAGUGAAGCAUGACGGGGGAUAGGUCUCCCACCUCUUGGCUUGCCUUCAUCGGCCGGUCAGAGUGGAGUCGCUAGAGCAAGGUUAGUCCUGCUCGGAGGGUAGGUGCCUCGUGGUAAGUGGCGAGUGGGCCGGUGAUGCUGGACCCACAGGGAGCGCGUGAUCUGCGUUUAAAGUCCGCCGAGGUAUCCUCACCCUUCUCAGCCGCUCAUGUCCCUGUUGCCCUCUUGUUGCUUUUCAGUGACUGAUUCCCGGGGGCCCAGUAAGUGAGUUGGCGAGUCUCCACCUGCCAUUUUAACAUGUAUUUAAUAGAUACAUUGUCAUCGGCAGGUGCCAUAGUUCCCGUAGUUUCCCCAUUCCUAGUCAAUUAGCAUCCCAUCACAAUAGCCCAAGUAGUUUUCAUCCAUAGUUAGCAAUAGUUUAGCACAGAACCGGGGAUUGUCCUCGGGUACAUUUCUAUAGUGUAUACAGGGAUAAUCGUCGGUUUUGUGUCACCAUUUCAUUAAAGUUGUCUCAAAAGGGCUUCAGCGUGUUGGCUUCGGCCCCACGUUCGCCUCCCAAAAAUCCGGGACUCCAUAGUCCCGAGGUCUGGUAGAGACAUACAAAAUAAUAAU